GGCUCUGUUGCGCAAUGGAUAGCGCAU
rnacentral:piRNA from 6 species